AGUGAACGCUGGCGAUAGGCCUAACACAUGCAAGUCGAACGGCAGCACAGUAAGAGCUUGCUCUUACGGGUGGCGAGUGGCGGACGGGUGAGGAAUACAUCGGAAUCUACUUUUUCGUGGGGGAUAACGUAGGGAAACUUACGCUAAUACCGCAUACGACCUACGGGUGAAAGCAGGGGAUCUUCGGACCUUGCGCGAUUGAAUGAGCCGAUGUCGGAUUAGCUAGUUGGCGGGGUAAAGGCCCACCAAGGCGACGAUCCGUAGCUGGUCUGAGAGGAUGAUCAGCCACACUGGAACUGAGACACGGUCCAGACUCCUACGGGAGGCAGCAGUGGGGAAUAUUGGACAAUGGGCGCAAGCCUGAUCCAGCCAUACCGCGUGGGUGAAGAAGGCCUUCGGGUUGCAAAGCCCUUUUGUUGGGAAAGAAAAGCAGCAGGUUAAUACCCCGCUGUUCUGACGGUACCCAAAGAAUAAGCACCGGCUAACUUCGUG
rnacentral:rRNA from 1 species